rnacentral:rRNA from 1 species
AUUGAACGCUGGCGGCAGGCCUAACACAUGCAAGUCGAGCGGAUGAAGGGAGCUUGCUCCUGGAUUCAGCGGCGGACGGGUGAGUAAUGCCUAGGAAUCUGCCUGGUAGUGGGGGAUAACGUCCGGAAACGGGCGCUAAUACCGCAUACGUCCUGAGGGAGAAAGUGGGGGAUCUUCGGACCUCACGCUAUCAGAUGAGCCUAGGUCGGAUUAGCUAGUUGGUGGGGUAAAGGCCUACCAAGGCGACGAUCCGUAACUGGUCUGAGAGGAUGAUCAGUCACACGGGAACUGAGACACGGUCCAGACUCCUACGGGAGGCAGCAGUGGGGAAUAUUGGACAAUGGGCGAAAGCCUGAUCCAGCCAGGCCGCGUGUGUGAAGAAGGUCUUCGGAUUGUAAAGCACUUAAAGUUGGGAGGAAGGGCAGUAAGUUAAUACCUUGCUGUUUUGACGUUACCAACAGAAUAAGCACCGGCUAACUUCGUG